rnacentral:tRNA from 1 species
GCCAAUGUAGCUCAGGGGUAGAGCAGCUGUUUCGUAAACAGCAGGUCGACGGUUCGAAUCCGUCCAUUGGCUCCA